rnacentral:rRNA from 1 species
UACAGAGGUCUCAAGCGUUGUUCGGAUUCAUUGGGCGUAAAGGGUGUGUAGGUGGCGCCGUAAGUCGGGUGUGAAAUUUCGGAGCUUAACUCCGAAACUGCAUUCGAUACUGCGGUGCUUGAGGACUGGAGAGGAGACUGGAAUUCCUGGUGUAGCGGUGAAAUGCGCAGAUAUCAGGAGGAACACCGAUGGCGAAGGCAGGUCUCUGGGCCACUACUGACGCUGAGAAGCGAAAGCAUGGGGAGCGAACAGG